AUACGGAGGGUGCGAGCGUUAAUCGGAAUUACUGGGCGUAAAGCGUACGUAGGCGGUUUGCUAAGUCAGAUGUGAAAGCCCCGGGCUUAACCUGGGAACUGCAUUUGAUACUGGCAGACUAGAGUAUGAUAGAGGGGGGUAGAAUUCCUGGUGUAGCGGUGAAAUGCGUAGAUAUCAGGAGGAAUACCAGUGGCGAAGGCGGCCCCCUGGAUCAAUACUGACGCUGAGGUACAAAAGCGAGGGGAGCGAACAGGAUUAGAUACCCUAGUAGUCC
rnacentral:rRNA from 1 species